CAGUCAUAGCGUACCUAAUUAUCUGUGCAUGCACUCAGAAAGAAAAAACGUGUGUACGGGCGGGUGUUGUUUUUUUAUGGAAUAACGUUGCUCGUUUUUUAAAAAAAAAAAAAAAGGAAAAAACAUUAUAUGCCUGGGGUAUAAAAAGAGUGUAAUAUUCUGUUUUCAAUCAGAGUUAAACUACUCUUCUUUCUCGUAAGGAUUUCCCCAUUAAGGGAAACCAAAAUGCGCUCACGCUGUUUGUAAUGCAAUUCAAGGCCUGUGGAUUUUCGGAUAAAGCAAAUGUAACGCUAUCGGCAAUACUUUAAAAUAGACUCUAAAAAUGCCUUUCCUGUAAAGAAUUAGGUGGUGGGUUUUAAGCUACACACGCUGAAACGAGAUGUAAUACAUUUAAUAAUGUAGCACUUAAGACAGAACAUACAAAAUGUCUUCCGCAGAGAAAGCUCUCCAUACCUGGGGCUGCACAUUUUAAGAGAAGACUUUGAAAUAAAAGGUUCCUGAAAUUGAGGCAGAUGUAAGUGCGCUUACAGGCCGUAAUACAGCAAUGAGAUAUUGUAAAUCCUUGGAAAAGGUCCCCAUCACACGCAUUAUCUAGACCGCCAUAUACCUUAAAACUGUGUAAUUUUAAUUUUUUUGUUUUCCUAAUGCGAAGUUAAUUAGGCGAUCAAAGUUCCAGUUCCAAGCUGGCGGUAUGAUAGCUGAGCAGGGAAACGAGAUCCUCCUCCCCUCUUAAGGCCCAAUAAGCAUCUUGUGCACCUUGAUUUUUAAUAUUAGCGCUCUGCGCAUUUUGUAACCUUACACAAACAUAAGCAUGGAGGAAACGGAAUAUAAAGACACAGACGCAGCAGCGUGCCGCCAAAAAAAAAACAAAACCGGGGAAAUGGGAAAAAAGGGAAGGGGGAAGGGUGGCGGUUUUGAAAAACAAUAAAUAAAACCACAGAAAGGAGACAUCAAAGGAAAAGCCUGUAACUUUCAGUAAAUUAAAAAAAAUGCAAAUAUACCUUUACAUAUGCAUCAGUAUUAAAAAUAAUAGACGCUGGAGCCAACAGGAGCGGGAGGAGGAGGAGAGGAGAAUGGCGCAGCGCUGGAGCCGCCCGCUCCAGCCGGGCUUUUCUCGGCCCUGAUCGCUCAUUUCGGGGAUGUUUAUUUUGUUGAUGAUGAUGAUGGUGGUGAUGAUGUUUGGAAGAAGAGGGGAGGCCAGAUUUUCUGUUCCGUUAAUUAGGAUCUUCCGCAAUAGGGGCGAUGGCUCCGGGAAUCCGCGGUCUCUUCUCCCAGCAGCGGCAUUUGCAUAUUCUUUUUUUUCUUUCCUUUUUUUUUUUUAAUGCCCUAAUUUCCUUGAUGUAUGUAAAUGUGGCCGGACGUACAGUAUGCUUCGAGCUGACGUCAGUGGACGUGACCUCGCCGUUAAACCUUGAACGUGAAACGGGGAUGGGGGCGGGGGGGAUGCGGGGCGGCAGCGCAGCCGCGGAGACGCUGCGCGCUGCUCCGCGCCCCUGCCCGAUUAAAUGAGCUCUGCAACCAACAGCAAUAGCAACAACCCGCCCGCCCCCUCGCCCCGUGCGGCCCCAAAACAAAGCCCACCUCCCCGCAGCACCGCCGAGCUCGUCCUGCCUUUUUUUUUUUUUUUAAUUUUUUUGUUGUUUCGUGGUUGGUUUUUUUUUUUGUUUGUUUGUUUUUUUUUGUUUGUUUGCUGCUUCUCUUCAUCAGGCGGCAAGCGGGAAAUAGAAAACUCCAGGCAAAUUAAAAAAAAAAAUAAAUUAAAAAAUAACCCUUCAUCUGUCCCCAAAAUAUUGCAUAAGCCAGUGGAGGCGAAGCAUCCCUCCGGGUACCGCGAGGACGGGGCUGGGUGCGAGGGGGUUGCGGUGAUCCCCGCAUCCUUAUCGGCAGGAGGAGCGGUAUAAGCGGGGAGUGGGUGUCUGGUGGCGGAAGGUGACCGGUGUGAGGGUGCAGAAGAGCGGUUUGGGUUCCUCUUCCUUCCCUCCUCCUCGCCCCCCGUGUCUCCCUUUGGAGACGCCGCGGGGUGUGAGGAUGUUUGGAGAACUUUUAGCGCCCGGGGAAUUUCUGCCGGCGAGGCGGCGGGGUGAAACGCAACCGGCGGCUGGGAAGCGAGGGGUGUUCGCUGUCAGGAGCCGUUUUCUCUCCUUUUCUCCUGACGUUGUUAUUUAUUUAUUCGCUAGCCUGCUGUGAGAUGCUCCGGAGCAUCUCUCCGGACCUCGGCGGCGGCAACUGCCUCUCCACCCAAGCAUCUCAACUCGGCUGAAACGCCCACACCGGGGAGUAGGAACGCCAGAGUGUUUCUGGCAGGGGUGGAGCGGUGCAGACUUUUAUAAAUCCUCUCAGCAGUUGGAUUUAUUUUUUUUUUCCUGUGCAGGCGGGGGGGUUCCUCCUGAAUUCCCUCCGCUCGCGUUUGGCUCCUCACAGAGGUCUCUUUGUCCGCCGGGUCCCUCGGGGGCCACGCCGCCGGGGGAUGCCGAGGUACCAGAGGGAUACGGUGGGGCCGUCCCCACUGUCUUGUCCCCCCCGCCUCGAAAUCAGCACCCGGGGACGGCGGAGCGCCUCCCCGCUCCCUGCAGCCACCGUGCAUCCCUCCUCCAUCCCACCCUCCUCCAUCCCACCCUCCCCACACACCUCCUGCUCCGGCGCACACCCAAACUUCUCCCCGCCCGCCCUCUCCCCUCACUCCCCGCCCGCCUCCCGCGCCCUAAAACCCAGCCGGGGCUUUGACGGGCGUUUUCACGCUGUUUCCAAACCGGGAGCGAUGGACGAGGGGGGACAGAAGGAACCGGCAGCGCUUUCGGACAUCUUCUUUCCAGCGACGAAAGGUCACACCACAAGUUUGCAUGACAGCAGGGAUGGGAAGAGAAUCUUUUUUCUUAGUAGCGUGAUUUUUUCCUAAUUUUCUUUCUUUUUUUUUUUUUUUUCCUCCUCUUUCUGCUGUUGGCCGGCUGGUUGGUUUUGGCAGAAGUUGCACAAAAUGGAAAUGCCUCCCAAAAAAUAAGACUGGGAAGAAACUGUUCUUCAGAAGUUAGCUGGAGGAAAACAUCUUAUAAAACUUGACCUUUUGCUGCAAUUUCAUUAUUUUGUUUUUAAGUUUCCAAAGAAAUGUGCGCUUUCCUUCUUCUCUGGGAAAAGGUAGCCAUUGCUCUUCUUUAGACUAGACAUUUCCAAUUUGUUCCGUCUGUCAGAAUGGGACUGUGAGAGGUUUUGGUGCAAAUUCAUUAUCUCUGGCAACGCAUAACGUAUAGUAGGAACUGAAAAAGACCGUGGCAAUGGAUGAACAAUAGGGCUUCAGUUCAUCAGCAACAAAAGCGUUGGGGAAAUUGGUUGAAUUUCAGAGCACGUCCUCCUCAGCAGAGAGGGCUGGACUAGACCUUGGCCAACCCCCCAAAAAACUUGCAGAGCCUCACAUACAACACUUCACUUUCUACUCCGGGAAGCGUAGGAAGCAAUAUGGGAAAAGAGGAAAAAAAAAAAAAAAAAAGAAAAGGAAAAAAAAAAAAAGCCAAACCGAGGCCAACUUUCUGCGUUUGUCUCCACUUUUCCUGGAAGGAAGAUUUCUAACUCUUUUAGAGCCGUUCGCGCAAAGAAUGACACCGUGGAGCUAAGCGUCACUUUUAAAUAGGGAUGGCGAAGGGAAAGACGUGAAUUUCUGGAGACACGUAAAGCUUUCUCUGCUCCGAGGGGGCUUGGCCGUGGGGAUCUUUGUUUGCUACCGGCGGCUCGGCUCACACCCUAGACCUGGGGUCAAAUCUUUCUCUGAUGAAGGCGACGAAAUAUUUAGACAACGCAGACAGUCCACAGGGAGUGACACUCACGUGAAACGAGCAGUGUAUGGCUAGUGACCUGUCUUCCCAAGGAGAACAGCUGAGACAUCUGUUUGGAAUUAUUCCUGGGAUUAGACCAGCAUGAGGUCUCCUCUACCAAUCUGAGUUAUUUAAGAGGGACUGCAUUGAAAAUAUUCCUGGAGAAGAGGAAACAUAAACUUGCAUAUGGAUGAGGAUGAUCCAUUCACUGUUCUGUGGACCCCAGGUUCCUCGGAUGGAGUCACAAAUCUACCCAGUGCCCCUAUCAUAUCUACCGUCAGCACUGGAAAGGAAAUAUUCAUAAAAGCACUUAUCCUUAUGCAAUACCCAGCCAGAAUGCUGCCAGGGGGCAGGAGAUACUUCUUUCCUAGAAGGUCAUGUUGCUUCUGGACAUGAAAACCUGAAAAGUUUUGGAUUGCCUACCCAAAUUUUUCUGGACACUGCUGCUCUCAAGUUUCUAAAAUUCUCUUGAAGAUCUCUGAGAACAACAUGGAUGUGAUCAGCCAGCUCUAACUACAGGAGAAAUGGGGUAGGAAGCUGAUGGAGCAACAAACAGCCACCACCCCUGCUUCCUUUUCUUGUGUCAAUGUCUUGGAAAGCCAGAACGUCCACUGCUUCUGUGAUGGAGGGUCUGGUCCUUGAGGACUAUCAGUACUGGGGCUGAGGAGACAAACAUCACAGUCCCUUUUACCUUCUCUGAAGAGCAAUCUCAGCCCUUUCAAAGCUCUCUGAUGAGCUAUGCUGCGACUACAUGCUCUCCUUUGAUCUGGUACUGUCACUGGGUGAUGAAGUUUGGUUCUGUCCACAUGACAGAAACCUAGACCUAAUUUUGUGCGUGAAAGAGGUCGGUCAUGGAGACUGCUCAUGGUUGGUCCUGGAUAGUUCUCCUCAUCUACAGCACUACCAUGGCCAGUGUACUGCAAGUCUGUGCCUCAGGCCAGGCCACCAGGCAGAGGAGGUCCAGUCCUAUGGGUCUUCACAUUUAAUUCUUAAGGAAAAGUCAGUACCGUCCUGUCCCUGGAGGCUAUAAAGGGGAAAUGGAGUUUAGAACUGGCUCUCGACACUUGAUGCACGCUUGGCCAGAAGCUAAAGCGAAUCAGAAUAAACAUUCAGAAGAAAAUGCCAAAUACAAGAAAAUAACAGCAACUUAAUAUGAUUUAAUACCAAUAAAGUGGUUAAGGUUCGUGGAAACAAUACUUGCUCUUUCCUUCUUCUAAUAAAUUAAAAACAAUUUUAUAAUACAUUAGAGCUGGUGCAGCUCCUUCCAACUGGGGCUAUCCAUCACAGCCUGGGUGGAAACACUACUUUUUCUCCGUAUCAUGGCAGCCAAGCUGUUGAGGAAGGCUCGUGGCAGAGGACAGAUGGUAAUGAAGAUCUACGUGCUCUGUUCAAGAGCCCAUUCCUGCCAUUUUCUACAAUUUCCGUUGUGUUCUUUUACUGAAGCAACCAGAUCUUGCUCUAACAUGCACUGUGUGAUGCAGCCAUCCUGUCAAUCCACACCUCCAAAGUGGUUUUGGGUCCCAGUUUGCAAAGCCUGACCUUCAGCCGUGCCUAGCAGAACUAGCAGAGCAAAUUGUCUUCCUAUAAAUCACAUAUGGAGAGACCCCGCCGGUUCCCUACCUCUUCCUCCUCCCCUGUCAUCAUGUUUGGGUUUUCCACAGUAAGGAGUCACCGCAGCUGAGGUUUGACCUCAUGUUUGACUUCAUUGCCUGAGACCUUCCUGAUUCCUCAUCCACUGCCCAACCCAACUUCUUGGCCCCGCAAAUCUGACCUGUUUUAUGCAGAAUAGACAUGCUGUGGACUGAGUGGGUCUCCACCUUGUGGUAUUGGGUGGUUAGGCCACAUCCUGAGAGGCUGCAGGAAGGGAUAGAGCUCAGCAAGGUGAAGGUGUGAGAUGAGGUAUCUUAGCUGCAUUCCAUAAAAGCACUUAAGGUGGAUUACCGGGAAAUACAUCUCCAGUUCAGAAUGUUUUGGAAACAAAAUAUUUGGCAACAAAAAAGAAAACUUGGUCUUUAUCUGCACCAUGGAACAAUUUGAAGGCAGCAAUUGAUGAUAAACUGUAUAAUGAGAUGAGCACUUUGCAGGGGCAGGGACAGUUGUGCUUAUGGACAUCACGUGGCAUAAAAAAAUUCCUUGAGAGAGGGCACUACUGGAAUGUAAAAUAGGUAAAAAUCUGACUCUCAGUUUAUUUCCAUUACUGUUCUAAUUUUUUUUCAAGGAAUCAUCUAUCAUCCACAGCUUUUGAGCAAAUCGAAUGAAGCACAUUUAGCACAUGCACUGUUUCUGGUGCAUGCAAAAUUGCGAGGUGUGUGUGUUUCGUCGUGUUGGAGUACAGGUCUUGAGUCCUGAAGUUGGAGACAUGCAGGGAGAACCUGUAGAGACCUCAGAGUCUGUGAAUUUAAUGGCAUCUUCAGGCACCUGUGCAUUGCCCCAUGCAGGUCUGAGCACUUGACUGGGUUCUUCAAGUAGGAGGAAGUCUAAUGGGGUGAUACAGAGUUAAAGUAAACUGAAGAUGAAAAAGGUUCAAAAUACCCUUGGGAUGCAUGUACAACCACUGCAUCAAAAUAUUUAUUUACUUUUUCCUUACUGAUUUGUUCAUUUAUUUUAGCUGGGCUUUAAAGGCAACUUUUACUUGGGCCCUUUAGUGAUUUACCUAUCGCACUGCGUACUGAAAAUACAGCUCUUCUGCCAAAUUCAUAUUCACUAACUGUCUUGCUUGCUUGCAGCACCGUGGGGCCUAGUGGACAAAUAAGUUACUGACAUCGUUUCUUUCUAAACACAUACAGACUUCAGAAACAGGCUGAUUUAUAGCCAGUCUUAAUUUUGAAAUGGAAAUCAACAGGGAAAAACUAUGAUCAGUACCUAAAGCAUUAUUUUCCUGCUUUAUAAUAUUUAUAAAUUACAUCUUAAAAUUAAAAACCAGAUUGUUUCUAUGAAAUGUGAUUACGUGUAUUUCAUUCUUUAAAGGUUUCCUAGAGAACUAUCUUCAUCUUCUCUAUGAAAUUACUGUUUUUUCAAAAUUUCUUGCUUUAUCUUUUUUUCUUAUGCUCAGCAAUAGCAUUAUCGCUUUAUAUUAAACAAAAGGUAAAAUCCAAUGAAAAAGCGCGUAAGACAGUUUCAAGUCACUUGUAUUUUUAUUGUUAUCUUACGAGAAUUUUGUAAGUAUAAGGUUUAGCUUUUUAGAAAUCCUGUGGAUCCUUUGCAGACAGAAUCUUUGUUGAAAUUACAGGAAAUAUUAUAAAACUGAGAUGUGAGUUUAACGCUGUGUGUGUGUAACACAGCACCUGAUCAUUUUUCAUGUUAUGUCCUGCUAGCUAUUCAGAACACUUUUUCCACCAAUACUAGUUAACUUUUGGUGUAAUUAAUGCAUAUGUCUUUCACAAUUUUUGUAACAAAAUAAACAGCUCAUAUUGCUUAAACAUAA